AUAUAGCAGAGCAAUCAAAACAGCGAGAAUCCCACGCUUGCGGCUUGCCCAUCGCAUCGUUAUAUAAUCACUGACCACCCUCAUCGGCCUCGCCUCAGCUAGCGGUCUCUUUCUGUUGUAUAUCUCCCACCUUCUCCGCUUCCGCGCCUCCCACACACCCUCAUAUCGUUUCCAAACCCCUUCCAAUUCGGCAAUUCCUAUCCUCUUCUCUUUUCUUCCCCACCGAAAAACCCUAUUUUGCCGAUCCCAAAUGCUCCAUCUUUCCGCUUCUUGAUCGCCGCCACCACGGCGAGGCCAAGCCCAUUCUUGUAUGGAAACGCGGAGCCGGAAGCGGGCCGAGGCCUCCUCUUCUAAUUCGUCGGCUACCCGCUCAACAAAACGCCCCCACACCUCUUCCGACCCCCCUGUCGCUACCCGCACUCGCCAGUCCUCUAUGGACUCCGACCAAGCCUCUGGCCGCCGCGACCGCCGUAGCUCCGGUAGAGAGAGGGACCCGCCCGAGGGUUCUUCUCGCGAAGCCGAGAGGAUCUUAGGACUUAGCUUCGAUAGCGCUGGUGCUGAUGAUGACAACGACAGCGAAACCGGCGUUGGAGUCGGGAUUCUUCACCAGAACUUUACCAACGCGAGUAGUGCCCUUCAGGGACUUUUGCGGAAACUGGGUGCGGGUUUGGAUGAUCUAUUGCCGUCUUCGGGCGUGUCGGGUUCGUCCUCGUCUAACCAGAGUAGUCGACUCAAGAAAAUUCUUGCUGGGUUGAGGGCUGAUGGUGAGGAGGGGCGGCAGGUCGAAGCGCUGACGCAGCUGUGCGAGUUGUUGUCGAUUGGGACGGAGGAUUCUUUAGGAUCCUUUUCAGUGGACUCGUUUGUGCCCGUUUUAGUUGGGUUGUUGAAUCAUGAGAGUAAUCCUGAUGUGAUGAUACUUGCUGCGAGGGCGCUUACUCAUUUAUGUGAUGUUUUGCCGUCGUCCUGCGCUGCUGUAGUGCAUUAUGGUGCUGUUCCGUGUUUCUGUGCUCGGUUGCUUACGAUUGAGUACAUGGACUUGGCGGAGCAGUCUCUUCAAGCUCUUAAAAAAAUUUCACAAGAGCACCCGACGGCUUGUUUGAGGGCUGGGGCACUUAUGGCUGUUCUCUCUUAUCUUGAUUUUUUCUCCACAGGAGUCCAGAGGGUAGCAUUAUCUACUGCUGCAAAUAUGUGCAAGAAACUUCCAUCCGAUGCAGCUGAUUUUGUAAUGGAAGCUGUUCCAUUGUUAACAAAUCUUCUUCACUAUCAUGAUGCGAAGGUGCUUGAAUAUGCCUCUGUUUGCCUGACACGAAUAGCUGAGGCAUUUGCCUCAUAUCCUGAUAAAUUAGAUGAGCUUUGCAAUCAUGGGUUGGUUGCUCAAACCGCUGGGCUUAUUUCGUUGAGUAACUCCGGAGGGCAGGCUUCUCUCAGCACAUCAACAUACACGGGUUUGAUUCGCCUUCUUUCAACAUGCGCUAGUGGAUCACCUUUAGCUGCGAAAACUCUGUUGCUCCUUGGUAUCAGUGGAAUCCUUAAAGACAUCUUAUCAGGUUCUAGUCUUGUUGCUAGUGUGUCAGUUUUUCCUGCCUUAUCAAGGCCGCCAGAACAGGUUUAUGAGAUAGUUAAUCUCGCGGAUGAGCUUCUUCCGCCACUGCCCCAAGGAAUUGUUGCCCUCCCGAUUUGCUCUAAUUUUCUUGUGAAAGGGUCGGCGGGAAAGAGAAUUGCUGGUAGUUCUUCAGCGAAACAGGAGGAGGCUAAUGGAUCAAAGAAUGAACAAUCUGCUCAUGAGAAAUUAUUGCAAGAUCAACCUGAACUCGUUCAGCAAUUUGGUUUGGACCUACUGCCUAUCUUGACUCAGAUAUAUGGCUCUAGUGUCAACGGUCCAAUUCGACAUCGAUGUCUUUCAGUCAUUGGGAAACUAAUGUACUUUAGCUCAGCGGAGAUGAUCCAGUCCUUACUUAGUGCAACAAACAUAUCAAGCUUCUUAGCCGGAGUUUUGGCUUGGAAAGACCCACAAGUACUGAUCCCUGCUCUUCAGAUUGCAGAGAUUCUUAUGGACAAGCUUCCUAGAUUUUUUGCCAAAUCGUUUGUGAGAGAAGGGGUUGUCCAUGCUGUUGAUGCUCUUAUCCGUUCAGUUUCUUCAAAUACUAUUCCUGAGAAGGACACUGAUUCUGUGUCUAGCACAUCAUCUCGUUCUCAACGUUACCGAAGGAGGAAUGGUGGACUGAACUCCGAUGGUGGUUUGCUGGAGGAGGCAAAAGCUUCAACAGCUGGAACCGGUAGUUCAUCACCACUGACAGAGGUUUCUGCUGCAAAUAACAGCAUUCGGUCAGCUGUGAGUGAGUUUGCCAAGGCUUUCAAAGACAAACACUUUCCUGCUGUUCCUGGGGCUACUGAAAUUGGCAUUACUGAGGAUCUUCUUCGUUUGAGAAGUCUUUCUUCAAAAUUGAGUGCUGGUGCUGAUGAUGUGAAGGCCAGAGCAAAGGGGAAAUCUAAAGCCAGUGUAUUUGAUACUUCAACAAGUACGGAGGGGGAGUUGGAUGCUAUUAUUUCUGAGAUGCUAAUUGAACUCAGUAAAGGCAAUGGUGUAUCAACAUUUGAGUUCAUUGGUAGUGGCGUUGUAGUAGCUUUACUGAAUUAUUUUUCAUGUGGAACAUUUGCAAAAGAUAGAACCGCUGAGGUUAACCUGCCAAAUCUUCGUCAGCAAGCACUUAGGAGGUACAGAUCAUUCAUAGACCUCGCCCUUCCAGUUGGUGUCAAGGAACAAAAUGAAGCUCCUAUGAAUAUUUUAGUUCAAAAACUUCAAAAUGCUUUAUCUUCUUUGGAACGAUUUCCUGUUGUACUUAGCCAUCCUUCCAGAUCUUCCAGUGGGGGAAGUGCUCGCCUUUCCUCGGGUCUAAGUGCAUUGUCACAACCUUUCAAGUUGCGCUUAUGUAGAGCACAGGGUGAAAAGUCUCUACGUGAUUAUUCUUCAAAUAUUGUACUGAUUGAUCCUCUGGCAAGUUUAGCAGCUGUUGAAGAGUUUCUUUGGCCAAGGAUCCAAAGGAGUGACUCUAUACAGAAGACUUUAGCAUCUGCAGGAACUCCUGAUGUGGGUGCUUCGGCAGUGGGAGGCAAUGCUUCAUCAUUAGGUACACCAACUCCUUCAGUUCAUCGUCCUACUACUAGAUCUAGGUCAUCAUUAAUCAUAGGAGGUACAGCGGGAAAGGAAUCUUCCGAGGGAAAUGCAAACUCUUCAAGAGGAAAGGGUAAAGCUGUUGUGAAACCUACACCUGAUGAAGGAAAAGGAUCCCAAACAAGAAAUGCAGCCUGCAGAAGAGCAGCUUCAGUACAAGACACAGAAACGAAACCUGCACAUAGUGACUCUGACUCUGAGGAUGACUUGGAUAUGUCUCCUGUUGAUAUUGAUGAUGCUCUAAUGAUUGAAGAAGAUGACGUCUCAGAUGAUGAAGAGGAUGAUCAUGAUGAGGUGCUGAGAGACGAUUCUCUUCCUGUCUGUACACCUCAUAAAGUGCAUGAUGUGAAAUUAGGAGAUUCUGCUGAUGAAUUGGCAAAUGCUCCUUCAGCAAGUGACGGUCAUACACAACUUCCUGCUUCUACGAAUAAGAUUGCACAAGCUAGAGGUUCGGAGUUGGCUGAAUUGAGAAACAUAAGCACACUUAGCUCAAGAGGUGCACUGUCAUUUGCUGCUGCUGCCAUGGCUGGGCUUGCAUCUGUAAGUGGUAGAGGAAUCAGAGUUGGUAGGGAGCGCCGUGGACUUCCACAUGGAAGUAGUGUUCGUGAGCAGUACAAUAAGUUGAUAUUCACAGUUGGCGGUAAACAAUUGAACAAGCAGAUGACUAUAUAUCAGGCUAUCCAACGCCAACUUGUGCUGGAUGAGGAUGACGAUGACAAAUUAACUGGGUCUGAACUAAUGCCCACUGAUGGAAGCAGAUUCUUAAGUGAUAUUUUUACUAUAACUUAUAAGAAGGCAGAUAAUCUGGCUGAAUCUGCUCAAGGAGUGUCAUUAUCCUCAGAUAAGUCGUUAAAACCGGGUUCUGCUUCAAAUUCAGGGUGGAAGCAAUCAUCUCUUCUUGAUAGCAUCUUGCAUGGGGAGCUUCCUUGUGAUAUUGAGAAAUCAAGUCCCACAUACAACAUUUUGGCAUUAUUGCGUGUGCUGGAAGGUUUGAAUCAACUAGCUCCUCGUCUAAGAGUUCAAAAAGUGGCUGAUGAGUAUGCUGAUGGAGAGUUAGCUACUCCGGAUGAAUUAUAUUCAUCUGGUGCCAGAGUUCCUCCAGAAGAGUACAUAAAUAAAAAGUUAACCCCAAAGCUUGCACGACAACUCCAAGAUGCUCUUGCAUUGUGUAGUGGUAGUCUUCCUUCAUGGUGCUAUCAAUUGACAAAGGCAUGCCCUUUUCUUUUUCCAUUUGAGACAAGGAGACAAUAUUUCUAUUCUACCGCUUUUGGACUAUCUCGAGCGUUGCAUCGUUUGCAGCAGCAACAAAAUGCUGAAAAUACUGGUGCCGCCAAUGAAAGAGAGGUCCGUGUUGGUAGAUUACAACGGCAGAAGGUUCGUGUUUCAAGGAAUCGCAUAUUGGAGUCUGCUGCAAAGGUUAUGGAGAUGUAUUCAAGUCAAAAAGCUGUUCUUGAAGUAGAAUAUUUUGGUGAGGUUGGUACUGGAUUAGGUCCCACACUAGAGUUCUAUACUCUUUUAAGUCAUGAUCUUCAGAAGGUUGGACUUGGAUUAUGGAGAUCUAACUCAUCAUUUGACACAUCUGCAAUGGAAUUUGAUGGAAAGGAAGCAAAGGAAGCAAAUAAUUAUGAUGCAUCUGAUGAAGAGAAUACGGCUCAAAGUAGGGAUUUUAUUCAUGCUCCUCUUGGAUUGUUUCCUCGUCCGUGGCCUCCCAAUGCUGAUGUUUCUGAGGGUAGCCAUUUCACGAAAGUCCUCGAAUAUUUUCGCUUGCUUGGUCGAGUGAUGGCAAAAGCUUUACAAGAUGGCAGGCUCUUGGAUCUGCCACUUUCGACAGCCUUUUAUAAGCUUUUGCUUGGUCAAGAGCUUGAUUUGUAUGACAUUCUUUCAUUUGAUACUGAAUUUGGAAAGAUUUUGCAAGAGCUGCAAAUCCUUGUUAGCCGGAAAAAGGUUCUAGAAACAUCUGGGAGAGGCAAUCAGAGGGUGACAACUAAUCUUUAUUUUCGUGGUGCUCCAAUUGAAGAUUUAUGUUUAGACUUUUCCCUUCCUGGGUAUCCGGAUUACAUUCUUAAAGAAGGAGAAGAAAGCACGGUGGUUAAUAUUGACAACUUGGAAAUGUACAUUAGUUUGGUGAUUGUUGCUACAGUUAAGACUGGAAUUAUGCGGCAGGUGGAAGAAUUGAGAGCAGGUUUCAACCAGGUCUUUGACAUUUCCUCUCUGCAAAUUUUUUCUCCACAAGAAUUGGAUCACCUCAUCUGUGGCCGUAGAGAAUUGUGGGAGCCUGAAACAAUGAUCGAUCAUAUUAAAUUUGAUCACGGAUACACUGUUAAAAGCCCUGCAAUUACCAAUUUGCUCGAGAUAAUGGCAGAGUUCACCCCAGAGCAGCAGCGUUCUUUCUGCCAGUUUGUUACUGGUGCUCCUAGGCUUCCGCCUGGUGGCUUAGCUGCACUAAACCCAAAACUAACCAUAGUGAGGAAGCAUCCCUCAACAACUACAAAUACAGCGUUAGCAUCAAAUGGAACAGCAAUAUCUGAAUCAGCAGAUGAUGACCUUCCAAGUGUUAUGACUUGCGCAAAUUAUCUCAAACUUCCUCCUUAUUCUACCAAGGAAAUUAUGUACAAGAAACUCUUGUAUGCCAUAAAUGAAGGGCAGGGUUCAUUUGAUCUUUCCUAAACCAAAGGUACCAGCGAAGAUUUAGCCUUGCUAUUGGAGAUGAUUGCACAUUUUUGCAGCCUCUGAGCCCCCGUGAAAAAUAGAUUACAUAAGAGUUAUUAUUUCUUCAAAUCAUGGAAGGUUGGAAAGAGAAAAGGCCGCUCUAUGAAAAAAGUCUGUAAAUAAGAAACAAAAGUUUUUGUUUUGGUAAUUUUCUAAUUAUAAGCUUGGUUGGGCUCAGCAGUAGCUACAGGUUCAUUCUUCAAUUUCAUUUCUGACUUGUGAGAUUGGGCUGAUAGAAUUUGGAAGAUAUGAUAUGAAAUUAGAACGUUGAAUCUUUUUUUAUUGAUCAAUAAAUUCUUUGGAGAUCCAGUUAAAUAAAGAUAAAUACAAUAUUUUAUGCUUA